rnacentral:rRNA from 1 species
UACCUGGGCUAGAAUGUGAGCGCUAUCCGUGAAAGCGGAAGUUCCUUCGGGACGUGAAACAAGGUGCUGCAUGGCUGUCGUCAGCUCGUGCCGUGAGGUGUUGGGUUAAGUCCCGCAACGAGCGCAACCCUUGUCCUUAGUUGCCAGGUCCACAUGCACUCCAUCACUCCUCCCAGGCGCCUCCUGUGGCAUACUGGCCAUGCCCCUAGGUGCUGCCCGGAAUGUGUCCAUGACCAAGCCUGCUCCUAUCACCUGUUGCCCAGCUCGUUUUCAUGGUACACACCGCCCGUA